rnacentral:rRNA from 1 species
CCUACGGGAGGCUGCAGUGAGGAAUAUUGGUCAAUGGACGCAAGUCUGAACCAGCCAUGCCGCGUGCAGGAAGACGGCUCUAUGAGUUGUAAACUGCUUUUGUACGGGGGUAAAGCCCGAUACGUGUACCGGGUUGAAAGUACCGUACGAAUAAGGAUCGGCUAACUCCGUGCCAGCAGCCGCGGUAAUACGGAGGAUUCAAGCGUUAUCCGGAUUUAUUGGGUUUAAGGGGUGCGUAGGCGGUUCGUUAAGUUAGAGGUAAAAUCCCGGGCGCAAACCCGGCACUGCCUCUGAUACUGGCGGGCUAGAGUUUAGUUGAGGUAGGCGGAAUGUAUGGUGUAGCGGUGAAAUGCAUAGAGAUCAUACAGAACACCGAUUGCGAAGGCAGCUUACCAAACUACGACUGACGUUGAGGCACGAAAGCGUGGGGAGCAAACAGGAUUAGAUACCCGGGUAGUC